GUUUUUCUCAGGGGACGUUCAAAUUAUUUUUGUAACGGGAGUCGGCAGAGGACGGGGCGUGCCCGACGUGCACGCGUCCUCCCUCCCCGGCCCUCCUCCAGCGUCUGCCGGCGCCUGCCCUGCGAGGGCGUCAUGCCGCCUAAAACCCCCCGUAGAGCAGCAGCCGCUGCCGCCGCCGCCGCCGCCGCCGCCGCCGCCGCGGAGCCCCCGCCGCCGCCCCCGCCGCCCCCUCCUGAGGAGGACCCGGAGCAGGACAGCGGCCCCGAGGACCUGCCUCUAGCCAGGCUUGAGUUUGAAGAAACUGAAGAACCUGAUUUUACUGCAUUAUGUCAGAAAUUAAAGAUACCAGAUCAUGUCAGAGAAAGAGCUUGGUUAACUUGGGAGAAAGUUUCAUCUGUGGAUGGAGUCUUGGAAGCUUAUGUUCAAAAGAAAAAGGAACUAUGGGGAAUCUGUAUCUUUACUGCAGCAGUUGACCUAGAUGAGAUGCCGUUCACUUUCACUGAGCUGCAGAAAAACAUUGAAACCAGCGUCUAUAAAUUUUUUGACUUACUAAAAGAAAUCGAUACCAGUACCAAAGUUGAUAAUGUAAUGUCAAGACUGUUGAAGAAGUAUAAUGUGUUAUGUGCACUCUACAGCAAAUUAGAAAGGACAUGUGAACUUAUAUAUUUGUCACAACCCAGCAGUUCGAUAUCUACGGAAAUAAAUUCUAUGUUGGUGCUAAAAGUUUCUUGGCUCACAUUUUUACUAGCUAAAGGGCAAGUUUUACAAAUGGAAGAUGAUCUGGUGAUCUCAUUUCAGUUAAUGCUGUGUGUCCUUGACUAUUUUAUCAAGCUCUCACCUCCUGCAUUACUCAAAGAACCAUAUAAAACAGCUGUAAUACCUAUUAAUGGUUCACCUCGAACACCAAGGCGAGGUCAGAACAGGAGUGCACGGAUAGCAAAACAACUAGAAAAUGAUACAAGAAUUAUUGAAGUUCUCUGUAAAGAACAUGAAUGUAAUAUAGAUGAGGUGAAAAAUGUUUAUUUCAAAAAUUUUAUACCUUUUAUGAAUUCUCUUGGAAUUGUAGCUUCCAAUGGACUUCCAGAGGUGGAAAGUCUUUCUAAACAAUAUGAAGAAAUUUACCUUAAAAACAAAGAUAUAGAUGCAAGAUUAUUUCUGGAUCAUGAUAAAACUCUUCAGGCUGAUCCUACAGACAGUUUUGAAAUGCAGAGAACACCACGAAAAAGUUACCCCGAUGAAGAAGUAAAUGUGAUUCUUCCACAAACUCCAGUUCGGACUGUCAUGAAUACUAUCCAGCAAUUAAUGAUGAUCUUAAAUUCAGCAAGUGAUCAACCGUCAGAAAAUCUGAUUUCCUAUUUUAAUAAUUGCACAGUGAAUCCAAAGGAAAGUAUCCUGAAAAGAGUGAAGGAUAUUGGGUACAUCUUUAAAGAGAAAUUUGCUAAAGCUGUGGGACAGGGAUGUAUGGAAAUUGGAUCACAGCGAUACAGACUUGGAGUCCGAUUGUAUUACCGAGUAAUGGAAUCCAUGCUUAAAUCAGAAGAAGAACGAUUAUCCAUUCAAAAUUUUAGCAAACUCCUGAAUGACAACAUCUUUCAUAUGUCUUUGUUGGCAUGCGCUCUUGAGGUUGUAAUGGCUACAUAUAGCAGAAGUACAUCUCAGAAUCUGGAUACUGGAACAGAUUUGUCCUUCCCUUGGAUUCUGAAUGUACUUAAUUUAAAAGCUUUUGAUUUUUACAAGGUGAUUGAAAGUUUUAUCAAAGCAGAAGCCAACUUGACCAGAGAAAUGAUUAAACAUUUAGAACGAUGUGAACAUCGAAUCAUGGAAUCCCUUGCAUGGCUCUCAGAUUCACCUUUAUUUGAUCUUAUUAAACAAGCAAAGGACCGAGAAGGACCAGCUGAUCACCUUGAACCUGCUUGUACUCUCAACCUUCCUCUCCAGAAUAAUCACACUGCAGCAGAUAUGUAUCUUUCUCCUGUAAGAUCCCCAAAGAAAAAAGGGUCAACUACACGUGUAAAUUCUACUGCAAAUUCAGAGGCACAAGCAACCUCAGCCUUCCAGACUCAGAAGCCAUUGAAAUCUACCUCCCUUUCACUCUUUUACAAAAAAGUGUAUCGACUAGCAUAUCUUCGACUAAAUACCCUGUGUGCACGCCUUCUGUCUGACCACCCAGAACUAGAACAUAUCAUAUGGACCCUUUUCCAACACACACUGCAAAAUGAGUAUGAACUCAUGAGAGACAGGCAUUUGGACCAGAUUAUGAUGUGUUCCAUGUAUGGCAUAUGCAAAGUAAAGAAUAUAGACCUUAAAUUCAAAAUCAUUGUAACAGCAUACAAAGAUCUUCCUCAUGCUGUUCAGGAGACAUUCAAACGUGUUUUGAUCAGAGAAGAGGAGUAUGAUUCUAUUAUCGUAUUCUAUAAUUCAGUCUUCAUGCAGAGACUGAAAACAAAUAUUUUGCAGUAUGCUUCCACCAGGCCCCCUACCUUAUCACCAAUUCCUCACAUUCCUCGAAGCCCUUACAAGUUUUCUAGCUCACCUUUACGGGUUCCUGGGGGGAACAUCUACAUAUCACCCCUGAAGAAUCCGUAUAAAAUUUCAGAAGGUCUGCCUAUGCCAACAAAAAUGACUCCAAGAUCAAGAAUCUUAGUAUCAAUUGGUGAAUCAUUUGGGACUUCUGAGAAGUUCCAGAAAAUAAAUCAGAUGGUGUGUAACAGCGACCGUGUGCUCAAAAGAAGUGCUGAAGGAAGCAACCCUCCUAAACCACUGAAAAAACUGCGCUUUGACAUUGAAGGAUCGGAUGAAGCAGAUGGAAGUAAACAUCUCCCAGGGGAGUCCAAAUUUCAACAGAAACUGGCAGAAAUGACAUCUACUCGAACACGAAUGCAAAAGCAGAAAAUGAAUGAUAGCACGGAUACCUCAAACAGGGAAGAAAAGUGAGGACCUCACGACCUUGGUGGGCACCCUGUACACCUCCAGCUUCAUUGUCUCCCACAGAUCUGACUGUAGAACUCUCCCAGGUUCUGUUUACGGCCACAUUUGAUACAUACCUUCAGCUCUUUUUGUGGAUAGCACAGCUGAGUAUUUGUGCAGGGGAUGCCUAUGCCACUUGCAACAUUGUAGUUACUAGAACAUGCAUUGUUAUUGUACAAGAUUGAAAAUCCUGUGCCAGUCCUGCCAUUUAAAAAGCUGUAGCAGAUGUUUCUGUUUCCAAACUACAGUAAGUCCCCUACAUACGAACCUUCACGAUACGAACUUUCAAAGAUGCGAACAAUUGAAUCCAGCAAGGAACCAGAACCUGUGCCAUCAACGUCAGGCAUGAGUGAAAUUGCAGCUUGUCCUCCGUCUCCUAUUGCUGACGAGCCCUCAGCUCUACCAUCUCCCACCUCCUCCCCCUCCUCCAGCCAGUAACUCUUCUUGCCUGUUCAGGCGAUGCCAGCCCCUGUGUGCCAGCUGUUGUACUGUACUACUGUACUUUUCAAGGGCUCAGCUCAGAGGCCUUCCUUGACACCCAAGCUAAAAUCCUUCCUCUGUACUGUGCCACUCUCCUUCAAAAGGGUAACAGCGUUCACCACCGUCAGAGACUGCCUGACUCGGGCUGCCUAUUGCCUGUUUACCCACCCCGGCAUCAACCUGGCUGCUCUUACCUACUACUAUAGUUCUAGCGUCUAGAAGAAGCCCGUAUGUAGGGGGGAGAAAAAGUUCUCCCAACCUGUUUGUUGUGAUAAUAGCACAGGGAGGACUCAUAAGAUAGAUAAGACUAUGUAGUUUGUAAUUGCCUCUUUUUCAUUAUCACUGGUCAAGAAUUCUGCGUCUGACACUCACCAGGUUAUGGUCUAGAAUGACUGGCAGUUUCUUCAGGUCUCAGAUGAAAACACUUAACCCUUUUUAAAAAGCACUGAAUGGUGUCUCCACAAACCACGCUCAGCAGAUAAGGAUGCUACUUUAUUCCUGUAAAAUCGAAACCUCUCUCUGUGUAAGUUUGGGUGAAAUUAUACUGGAAGCACUAAAACAUUGAAUUUCUUGUGUGAGCAGAGAGGAAACAAAACUUCAGGAUGGAAAAUGUAAGAUGAACUUAACGGAUCCAUUGACUUCUGAUGUAGUGUCAUUAUGAAAAUAGACCUUCCCUCUCACAUAUCCCUGGCUAAACUUAGGGUUUCUGAGCUCUACAAACACUCAUCUGUUAGAAAGAAAUGAAAGAAAUAAAGUGAUAUUAUCCUUCAUAUAGGAGCACUGAUGGCCAGCCUAUCCUCAAAGACCAGAGAGAAAGCAUGUUUUUUCAGAGAGAUGUAACCAUGGGACUCAUCUGUCAUCUCCAACUGGUCUAAAAUUAGCCCUUCCUUAUUGUUUGGCAUCCCAGGUUUUAAGAGCUAAACCAGUGAUUCUCAUCCUUGGCUAAACAUCAAAAUUACUUGUGGAGCUUCGUAAACAUACAGAGUUAGAAUCCUUGAAUCUAUAUUUUGUAAAAGUUUCAUAGAUUAUUCUGUUAUGCCCAGAGAUAAGCAGCACAGAGAUACAGAGCAGUGCAACCUACACAUAACAAGCUUAGAGGAAAUCUAGAUAAAACUCCACCCACCCCUUCUUACUAACGUGUCCUCUGGCAGAGCAGUGACCCCCUGGGGAGUCUUGUGGAGGGUAAUCCACUUUUCAUCCCUAAAUAAACUUACCUGUUCCCUUUGGGUGGUCCAGUAUUUCCAUGAAAUGAGUUCAUAAAAGAAAAAGGCAUUGAGGAACUUCAGAAGACCCUGUCAGAAAAGGGCAAGAAAGAGGAAGAGAAGGUUUGGGAAGACACCAUAAAAUAUAAAGGCUUUUUGGUCAGUGACAGCGAGCGUAGUGGCAUGAGGAGAACAAGUUGGAAAUGAAGCCUGUGGACGUCUGACUGUGAGAACUGAUGGCGACUGGUGAUACCCAGGCCUCAGUGUUUCUUUGCUGGAGAGAACAGCUAACCUACCAGAACAUACAGACACGUGGUGUAAGGCUGUAACAUCUUACAGAAAAAAAA